AAGGGAUAGGUAGGGAUUUGAGGACAGCCCAUUGGAUUGGAAGGGAUAUGAAGGGAUGAAUAAGUAGGAGUUAAGAUGGAUUUGAAGGGAUUGGUGGGGAUAUGAAAUUAUUAGAAUGGGUAAACAGGGAUCUUGAGGGAAAUGGCAUGGAUUAGAAUAGAUAUAAAGGGAUUUAGUAGGUUUGGGAUGGAUAAAGGAGGGAUAUAAAAGGACUUGAGGGAAUCGUGUUGGAUUGAAAGGGAUGUCGAGAAAUUUAAUGGGAUCGCAGUGGGUUUGAUGUGAUCAAAAGGGAU